UUGCACGCUGGCGGCAGGCCUCACCCAUGCAAGUCGAGCGGAUGAAGGGAGCUUGCUCCUGGAUUCAGCGGCGGACGGGUGAGUAAUGCCUAGGAAUCUGCCUGGUAGUGGGGGAUAACGUCCGGAAACGGGCGCUAAUACCGCAUACGUCCUGAGGGAGAAAGUGGGGGAUCUUCGGACCUCACGCUAUCAGAUGAGCCUAGGUCGGAUUAGCUAGUUGGUGGGGUAAAGGCCUACCAAGGCGACGAUCCGUAACUGGUCUGAGAGGAUGAUCAGUCACACUGGAACUGAGACACGGUCCAGACUCCUACGGGAGGCAGCAGUGGGGAAUAUUGGACAAUGGGCGAAAGCCUGAUCCAGCCAUGCCGCGUGUGUGAAGAAGGUCUUCGGAUUGUAAAGCACUUUAAGUUGGGAGGAAGGGCAGUAAGCUAAUACCUUGCUGUUUUGACGUUACCAACAGAAUAAGCACCGGCUAACUUCGUG
rnacentral:rRNA from 1 species